rnacentral:rRNA from 1 species
AUUGAACGCUGGCGGCAUGCUUUACACGUGCAAGUCGAACGGCAGCGCGGAGAAGCUUGCUUCUCUGUCGGCGAGUGGCGCACGGGUGAGUAUAGCAUCGGAACGUGCCAAGUAGUGGGGGAUAACCAAACGAAAGUUUGGCUAAUACCGCGUAAGCUCUAAGGAGGAAAGUAGGGGACCUAAAUAAGGCCUUACGCUAUUUGAUCGGCCGAUGUCGGAUUAGCUAGUUGGUGGGGUAAUGGCUCACCAAGGCAAUGAUCCGUAGCGGGUCUGAGAGGACGAUCCGCCACACUGGGACUGAGACACGGCCCAGACUCCUACGGGAGGCAGCAGUGGGGAAUUUUGGACAAUGGGGGAAACCCUGAUCCAGCCAUGCCGCGUGUAUGAAGAAGGCCUUAGGGUUGUAAAGUACUUUUGUUAGGGAAGAAAAGCUAGUUUUUAAUAAAAAUUAGUGAUGACGGUACCUAAAGAAUAAGCACCGGCUAACUACGUG